AUUGAACGCUGGCGGCAGGCCUAACACAUGCAAGUCGAGCGAGCGGCGGACGGGUGAGUAAUGUAUGGGGACUGCCCGAUAGAGGGGGAUAACUACUGGAAACGGUAGCUAAUACCGCAUACUAUCGGAUAACCCAUAUGGGAUUAGCUAGUAGGUGAGGUAAUGGCUCACCUAGGCGACGAUCCCUAGCUGGUCUGAGAGGAUGAUCAGCCACACUGGGACUGAGGCACGGCCCAGACUCCUACGGAGGCAGGAGUGGGGAAUAUUGCACAAUGGGCGCAAGCCUGAUGCAACCAUGCCGCGUGUAUGGAGAAGGGCCUAGGGUUGUAAAAUACUUUCAGGCGGGAGGCGUUACCCGCAGGAGAAACACCGGCUUACUCCGUGCCAGCAGCCGCGGUAAUAC
rnacentral:rRNA from 1 species